rnacentral:rRNA from 1 species
GACGAACGCUGGCGGCGUGCUUAACACAUGCAAGUCGAACGGAAAGGCCCUGCUUUUGUGGGGUGCUCGAGCGGCGAACGGGUGAGUAACACGUGAGUAACCUGCCCUUGACUUUGGGAUAACUUCAGGAAACUGGGGCUAAUACCGGAUAGGGGCUCCUGCUGCAUGGUGGGGGUUGGAAAGUUUCGGCGGUUGGGGAUGGACUCGCGGCUUAUCAGCUUGUUGGUGGGGUAGUGGCUUACCAAGGCUUUGACGGGUAGCCGGCCUGAGAGGGUGACCGGCCACAUGGGGACUGAGAUACGGCCCAGACUCCUACGGGAGGCAGCAGUGGGGAAUAUUGCACAAUGGGCGGAAGCCUGAUGCAGCAGCGCCGCGUGCGGGAUGACGGCCUUCGGGUUGUAAACCGCUUUCGCCUGUGACGAAGCGUGAGUGACGGUAAUGGGUAAAGAAGCACCGGCUAACUACGUG